rnacentral:rRNA from 1 species
UGGAGGGUGAUACUCCCGUUCCUGCCUGUGCGUGUUGUGCGUACGAUGCGUUUUCUUUGAGUCGCGUUGUUUGGGAAUGCAGCGCAAAGUAGGUGGUAAAUUCCAUCUAAAGCUAAAUAUUGGUGCGAGACCGAUAGCGAACAAGUACCGUGAGGGAAAGAUGAAAAGAACUUUGAAAAGAGAGUUAAAGAGUACCUGAAACUGCUGAAAGGGAACCGGGUCGUUGCCAGUGUCUAUAAUCUGCGGCAUAUUUCAUUGUCGGAUGCGGCCGUGCGGCGCGUUUGGUAKUGGGUUCGUCCUGCACCGCGUGUUGCUGUGGUUGYGUUUGGUGGUGCCCUGUGCUGUGGUGGGACGUCAGAGUCAGUUCGUAUGCUGCGGGAAAUGGCUGCUGGGGAGGUAGGUCGGGGGUUCGCCCUCGGCUGUUAUAUCCUGGUGGACUAGUCGUCGUGGUUGGGACUGAGGUGCCUACAACGUGCUUUUGAGUGUGGAGGUUUCUUCGUUUGCGCGUCGGUUGGAUAGCUUGCUAUGCAGUUGGCGUUGUGUGCGGAUGGAUGUCUUUGCUAACUUGUUGCCGUUCGGGACUUUGACGAAAUGGCGCGAUCCGACCCGUCUUGAAACACGGACCAAGGAGUCUAACAUGUGUGCAAGUGUUAGGGUGUGGAAACCCGAGCGCGAAAUGAAAGUAAAGGGCAGUGUAUGCUGCCUGAGGUAGGAAACCUUUGCUCGUCAGGGGUGGCACUAUCGACCGAUCAUGAACCUUCGUGGUGAAAGAUUUGAGUAUGAGCACAUAUGUUGGUACCCGAAAGAUGGUGAACUAUGCCUGAGUAGGGUGAAGCCAGGGGAAACUCUGGUGGAAGCUCGUAGCGAUUCUGACGUGCAAAUCGAUCGUCAAACUUGGGUAUAGGGGCGAAAGACUAAUCGAACCAUCUAGUAGCUGGUUCCCUCCGAAAUUUCCCUCAGGAUAGCAGCAACUUAUUUACGAUAGUUUUAUGAGGUAAASCGAAUGAUUAGAGGA